NUCUCUCUCUCCUUUCUUUCUCUUUCUUUCUCUCUUUCUCUUUCCUUCUCUUUUUCCUUCUCUCUCACUUUGUUUUCUCUUUCGCCCUAUUGCUCUAUUUCUUUUUUCCCUUUCUCCAUCUCUCACUUUCUCUCUCCUCUCUUGCUUCUCUCUCUUCUUCCCUCUCUGUUUUCCUGUUUAUCACCUUUUCUCCCUCUUUUCCUCCUUACCUCUCUAUUUUUCUUUCCUCUCUCUUUCCCUCUUUGCUUUUAUCUGCCUCUUUCUCUGUCUCUCCAGUCUCUCCCGCUUCAUCUCGGCGUCACUGGGAGCUGCUUUGCCGCUCUCCGCAGGGUUUUUCCAGCUCUGUCCACCUCCCGUCGGACCCCGGGGAUCGCCCACCCGGCCGCACCAGGGGGGGUCUCCCCUCUUCCCCGGGGAGAGAGCGGCGAGGACCCCCCGGGCCCCGCGGUUCCCCUGCCCUGCAGGAUUGUGGCCCAGCUCCUGCCCAGAGCCCAGCACCCUGGCCCGGGCUGCCGGACCCCCCCGGGGCAUAAGUGCCCAACCAACCUCAGCCCAACCAGCUUUUGCCAUCAGGCCACACGCAGCGGAAACUGCCCUGGAGAAGUCCCAGGUGCCUCCUGCUUCCCCCAAAAAAGCGACCUCCGAAGCUCUGUUGGGGUCCCCAGCCCUCACCUCCGCCGCCCGCGCCCCAGCCCACCCGCGGCUCUCCCUCCCACCCGCGCUGCCCCCCACGCUGCCUUUGCGGGGCUUUCCCGUGCGGGUGCAGCCUCCCCGUGGGCUCCGUCCUUCCCCUUUUACCGGCCCGUGGCUCCUUGUACAGACGGGGGGAGCGGGGGGGGCAAGCGGCAGCGUCCCCGGGCCGGGAGAGCGCCCAUGGGGGGCCGCUGGGGGCUGCGGGCAGCACCAGACCCACGGCGGCUCCUCUGCCACCAGAUCGCGUUUCGCUGUUAAACAAGGCGCACCCCGGUUCCCCAAGCCCUUGGCAGCAACAGGUGACACUGCGAUCCGGGACGGGGCAAAAACCCCACUCCCGGCAGGGUCUGAUCGCACGUUUCCAACCCUUCCUCAUCGUUCACAUCCU
rnacentral:lncRNA from 1 species